AAAAACAACAACUGUAAGUCGCUUUGGAUAAAAGCGUCUGCUAAAUGGCAUAUU
rfam:Stenodus leucichthys SINE SmaI-cor DNA, locus name Ste204.